rnacentral:rRNA from 1 species
UACGUAGGUGGCAAGCGUUGUCCGGAUUUACUGGGCGUAAAGAGCGCGCAGGCGGUCGUUCAAGUCGCGUGUGAAAGCCCCCGGCUCAACUGGGGAGGGUCACGCGAUACUGAUCGACUCGAAGGCAGGAGAGGGUAGUGGAAUUCCCGGUGUAGUGGUGAAAUGCGUAGAUAUCGGGAGGAACACCAGUGGCGAAGGCGACUACCUGGCCUGUUUCUUGACGCUGAGGCGCGAAAGCUAGGGGAGCAACGGG